rnacentral:rRNA from 1 species
GUAGGGAAUCUUCCACAAUGGACGAAAGUCUGAUGGAGCAACGCCGCGUGAGUGAAGAAGGUCUUCGGAUCGUAAAACUCUGUUGUUAGAGAAGAACGUGCGUGAUAGUAACUGAUCAUGUAAUGACGGUAUCUAACCAGAAAGCCACGGCUAACUACGUGCCAGCAGCCGCGGUAAUACGUAGGUGGCAAGCGUUGUCCGGAUUUAUUGUGCGUAAAGGGAACGCAGGCGGUUUUUUAAGUCUGAUGUGAAAGCCUUCGGCUUAACCGAAGAAUAGCAUUGGAAACUGGAAGACUUGAGUGCAGAAGAGGAGAGUGGAAUUCCAUGUGUAGCGGUGAAAUGCGUAGAUAUAUGGAGGAACACCAGUGGCGAAAGCGGCUCUCUGGUCUGUAACUGACGCUGAGGUUCGAAAGCGUGGGUAGCAAACAGGAUUAGAAACCCGGGUAGUCC